ACUCCUACGGGAGGCAGCAGUGGGGAAUAUUGCACAAUGGGCGCAAGCCUGAUGCAGCCAUGCCGCGUGUAUGAAGAAGGCCUUCGGGUUGUAAAGUACUUUCAGCAGUGAGGAAGGUGAGUCGUUAAUUAGCGGCCUCAUUGAUCGUUUAGCUUGCAGAAGAAGACACCGGCGUAACUCCGUGCCAGCAGCCGCGGUAAUACGGAGGGUGCGAGCGUUAAUCGGAAUUACUGGGCGUAAAGCGCAUGCAGGUGGUUUGUUAAGUCAGAUGUGAAAGCCCGGGGCUUAACCUCGGAAUAUGACA
rnacentral:rRNA from 1 species